rnacentral:sRNA from 1 species
GCGCCUGCAAAAUCAGGCGUCGGGAUUGACCUCCUGAAAAUUGUUACAGGCGACACAUGACGCGCCAGCGUCUUUUUU